AGAGCGAACGCUGGCGGCAGGCCUAACACAUGCAAGUCGAGCGCCCGUAGCAAUACGGGAGCGGCAGACGGGAUAGUAACACGUGGGAACGCGCCCUUCGGUUCGGAAUAACUCAGGGAAACUUGAGCUAAUACCGGAUACGCCCUUACGGGGAAAGAUUUAUUGCCGAAGGAACGGCCCGCGUCCGAUUAGCUAGUUGGUGAGGUAAUGGCUCACCAAGGCGACGAUCGGUAGCUGGUCUGAGAGGAUGACCAGCAUCACUGGGACUGAGACACGGCCCAGACUCCUACGGGAGGCAGCAGUGGGGAAUAUUGGACAAUGGGCGCAAGCCUGAUCCAGCCAUGCCGCGUGGAUGAUGAAGGCCUUAGGGUUGUAAAGUCCUUUUAACGGGGAAGAUAAUGACGGUACCGCAAGAAUAAGCCCCGGCUAACUUCGCGCCAGCAGCCGC
rnacentral:rRNA from 1 species